UACGUAGGGGGCAAGCGUUGUCCGGAAUCAUUGGGCGUAAAGCGCGUGUAGGCGGCUGGGUAAGUCCGCUGUGAAAGUCCAGGGCUCAACCCUGGAAUGCCAGUGGAAACUGUCGGGCUGGAGUCCGGAAGAGGCGAGUGGAAUUCCUGGUGUAGCGGUGAAAUGCGCAGAUAUCAGGAGGAACACCAAUGGCGAAGGCAGCUCGCUGGGACGGUACUGACGCUGAGACGCGAAAGCGUGGGGAGCAAACAGG
rnacentral:rRNA from 1 species